rnacentral:rRNA from 1 species
CAGUCGCCGCGGGAAUACAGAGGGUGCAAGCGUUAAUCGGAAUUACUGGGCGUAAAGCGCGCGUAGGUGGUUUGUUAAGUUGGAUGUGAAAUCCCCGGGCUCAACCUGGGAACUGCAUCCAAAACUGGCAAGCUAGAGUAGGGCAGAGGGUGGUGGAAUUUCCUGUGUAGCGGUGAAAUGCGUAGAUAUAGGAAGGAACACCAGUGGCGAAGGCGACCACCUGGGCUCAUACUGACACUGAGGUGCGAAAGCGUGGGGAGCAAACAGGAUUAGAUACCCGGGUAGUCCCUGUCUCUUAUAC